rnacentral:rRNA from 1 species
GACGAACGCUGGCGGCGUGCCUAAUACAUGCAAGUUGAGCGAUGAAGCUUGGUGCUUGCCCCAAUUUGAAGAGCAGCGAACGGGUGAGUAACGCGUGGGGAAUCUGCCUUUGAGCGGGGGACAACAUUUGGAAACGAAUGCUAAUACCGCAUAACAACUUUAAACAUAAGUUUUAAGUUUGAAAGAUGCAAUUGCAUCACUCAAAGAUGAUCCCGCGUUGUAUUAGCUAGUUGGUGAGGUAAAGGCUCACCAAGGCGAUGAUACAUAGGCGACCUGAGAGGGAGAUCGGCCACAUUGGGACUGAGACACGGCCCAAACCCCUACGGGAGGCAGCAGGAGGGGAUCUUCGGCAAUGGACGAAAGUCUGACCGAGCAACGCCGCGGGAGGGAAGAAGGUUGUCGGGUCGGAAAACUCUGUUGGUAGAGAAGAAAGUUGGUGAGAGUGGAAAGCUCAUCAAGUGACGGUAACUAACCAGAAAGGGACGGCUAACUACGUG